UGACAGCCGACCUCAGCCGCUCGAUCCCGUCCCAUUGAGCGGCAGAGAUCAGAUCCCCUCUCAACAGUUACUCUGGCAACUCUUCAUCGACAUCGACCCCUCUCUCUCUCUCUCUCUCUCUCCUCCCCGCCCAGUGAGUCAGUGAGUGCGACACCCGGCGUCCAAAGACUUGCCGUCGCCGUCGAGUCCGAGCGUCGCCGCCGUCCUCCCUCACCGAGAGAGUACUCCUGCCUGCCCCACGGCAACGGCACCCGUCGACGGUUUCAGCUGCUGUCUCCCGCUCUAUCUGUUCCUUGCAGGUGCCCGCACCAGAAUCCGACGACGUCGCCGUUGCCGUCGUCACUGAGCUUGGCCGCCGUCGUCCCUCAACCACCGAUAUCCAUCACCUUCCCCGCCGGUGCCCAUUGUUGAAGGAGACAUCCACAACCACAACCGCGCAGUGCCUGGAUCUACUUAUUUUAAUGGCUCAAAUUAUAUCCCUUUACUUGAUGAUUCAAAUUAUGCUGAAUGGAAAGAAAAUGUUGUGUUUACGUUGGGGUAUAUGGAUCUGGAUAUGGCUUUGAGGCGACCUGAGCCACCACCUCUUACACCAGAAAGUACACAUAAUGAAAUAGUGUAUUUUGACAAGUGGGAGCGUUAUAACCGACUAAGCUUGUUGCUUUUGCAAUCAAGGGUCGCUAAGAACAUACGUGGUGCUAUCCCACCUUGUAGAUCGGUGAGAGAGUUCUUGGAUGCAGUUGAGGCUCAGUUUGUUAGUUCUCAUAAAGCCAGAUCCAGUACCCUAUUGUCAAAGUUAAUAUCUCUGAAAUAUCAAUGAGGGGGUAACAUUCGCCAGUAUAUGUUAGAGAUGAGGAACAUUGCUUCUCAAUUGAAUGACAUGAAGUUGACUAUUUCUGAAUCAUUCUUGGUAUUCUUUACUUUGACCUCUUUACCAGCUGAAUAUACUCCUUUCAAGAUCAGUUACAACACACAUAAUACUGAAUGGACAUUCAAUGAAUUGAUGUCCAAGUGUGUUGAAGAGGAGGAAAGAAUGAAGGGUGAGAAGUUGCAAAGUGCACAUAUGGUUUCUCACUUUGGGGCUGGUAAAGUUGGCAUAAAGAAAAGUUCAAUGAAAAGGAGUGCCAAGAAGAAGUCAACAGGACAAACUGCUUCUCAAACUGCGCAGACUAACUUAGCCCCUAUAAAGUGUUUCUUUUGCAAGAAAAAGGGGCAUAAGAAGUCAGACUGCAUCAAGUACAAGAAUUGGUUAGAGAAAAAAGGACUUUCUGAGCAAAAGGGAACCAACACUACAUGAGAGGAGCAUUUUCUCAGGAAACAAAAUGCGCUCACAUGUGAAGGCUGUAGAAGAAUGCCAGAUUAGGCUUGAUACUGGCUUUGUUUUGGAUCUUCAUGAUGUUUUCUUUGUUCCAUCAUAUAGUAGAAACUUAA